AUCAGAUCACCUGGCUUGCUGUGAAAUUCACAAUCAGCAUUGUUUUCGGAUUCAGGAAAGUGGUGUUCUUCCCCAACUGUAUCUAUUUUCCCAAGACUAGGAGGAGAAUCUGCAUUUGGACUUGCCUGUUGACAGUGAAAAGCGAGAAUGCAUAAUACAUUGACAAAGUCUCCAGGAUUUGAAGCUAGACCCAAACCCAGCUAUAGCAUUUAUUAGCUACUGCACUUCGAACAAGUUAACCUCUUUAGGAAUCAAUGAUCUUACCAGAGAAGCACAGACAGACUCUACAAAUUUCUGUUUGAGUGAAGAACAUCAUAUCUCCCGUGUGGAAUUGCAACUGCUGAGCCAGUGUGACUUCCUCAGAGCCAUGGGUUCAUUCAGUUCUGUCAUGAGAAAAACAUCAGAAAAUUUCUAGCAGUGGGGCAGCCUACCAAAUAUUUGAUCAGUACUCCUCAAAGCUAUCAAAGUCAUCAAAAACAAGAGACAUCUGAGAAACAGCCACAGUCAAGAAGAACCUGAGAAUUCAUCUAUGGAUCAACUGUUGCUAUUCCAUUACAAUAACCAUUUCUUGGCUGAGUUCAGGUCCUGAGGAAGCGCCACACCCUUGAAACAAAACAAAACACACCCAGAACAAACCAUACAACCAUCUUUAACCUAGCUUUUUAUAGAAUGUCUCAGUUCCUUGUAACUUUGCACACAAGCUCUUGUGUUGAAUUGAACUAUAACUGGUUUUAUAUUUGGAGAAAGCAAAUUUGAAACCUUUAAAGAGAAAAAAAG